rnacentral:rRNA from 1 species
UACAGAGGGUGCGAGCGUUAAUCGGAAUUACUGGGCGUAAAGCGUGCGCAGACGGUUGCGUAAGUCAGAUGUGAAAGCCCCGGGCUCAACCUGGGAAUUGCAUUUGAGACUGCGUAGCCAGGGUGCGGAAGAGGGAAGCGGAAUUUCCGGUGUAGCGGUGAAAUGCGUAGAUAUCGGAAGGAACACCAGUGGCGAAAGCGGCUUCCUGGUCCAGCACCGACGUUCAGGCACGAAAGCGUGGGGAGCAAACAGG